AUGUUUUUUGGUAUUAUGAUGUUAAAUUUCUACUGUUUAAUUAGUUGGUUAAAUUUGUGGGUUUAAUUUGCAGAUUUAGUGAAAGGAGUAUAAUUUCUUGCUUAAAUUGCUUUAUGGAUAAAUUUCCAAUUUAAUCAAGGUGGUGAUUAAGAUAUUGGAAAAGCUUAUUGAUAUUCAUAGCAGCUUGUCUUGUGUAUGAACAGAUUAUCAGAGGUCUCUAGGACCCACUCUCGUACACACAUAGGCUUUGGACCAUGUACUAGGGUGAUUAGCCUUUGGGGCAGCUCUGCGUACGUACGACCAGAUUAUCAAAUGUGAAUGAACUUGUCUUGUACAUCGAGAUUACUCUGUACAUGAGUAAUGCUAUUCAUAAGGUACCUUUUUGGUGGAAUUUUUCGGUAUAUUUACAGUUUAUCAGAUUUUAGAAUAUAGAAUUCAGUUAAUUCAGUUUUCAGAAUAAAUCUUUUAGCUUAUAGUAUUGAGUAGCAAUAAUAUUUCAUAGAUUUUCAUGGAUAUCAGAUUAAUUAUGUCAUUAUACUUUACAGUUGCUUAUCCAGAAUUAAGAACAAAGAAUUUUAUAAUGCAAUCAUGUUUAGUUUUAAAAGUGUUACCAGAUUUUAGAAAUUCUCAAAGUUUUAAUAGAGUUUGAAUUUUCAGAAUAUAUGGAUAAAAGAAAAAUAUAUUUAUUUGCAAAAUAUCUACUCACUAAGUUAUAAGAACAUACAUCUUUUCACCAUUUUCUUAUUAGAUAGUAGUUGAAUUGAGCAACUUUGGAGCCUGUUAAACCACCGAAUUGAGACACGCUUAGUAGGUUGUAUGAUAUCCUUUAUCAGAUUAUACAGCGUGUGUUCUUUUGGGGUACAUGUAACUUAAAUAAAAAAUAAUUCAUCAUGGGCUCAUUACAUAUUUGACGUAUUUGGUAUAUUUGAGGAUUGUUGGUUGUAAAGUAAGUAAAUAUUGAAUGAUCAGCAUUUUAUUUGAAUAGUUGGUAUUCUGAGGAACUGGCUUAUCCUGUUUUAUAUUAUAGGUAUUAAUUUGAGGAAAAAUUGGUUAUUGUUCA